GCCUGAUGAAAAAAAACGGACAAAUGAAGUUGGCACUCGAUCCCCUCCCUCCCGCACUCGACCACAGGCCUCUCGCUCCCGCCUAGGGUUCCUCCAGCGCCGCCGCCGCCGGGCCUCUGCUCCUCGACGCCCCCAUCUCCGGCGACAUAGCCGACGGGUAGGCCUGCAUCUCCCACCCCAGCUGCCUCGGGCGCUUUCCCUCCCUCCCCCGGUGUCUAGCAGCAGCUCCUGGCCUGGUCCAGCCAGGGAUCCACUCCGGUGGACGACGCCCACUCUGGUCGACGUGCCACUCCGGCGAAGGACCCCCGCUCCCCUCCCCUCCUCCCUGGCCGUGAGCCCGAGCAUCAGCUAUGAGCUCCUCUUAUUUUGAUUUUGCAAAAUUUUCAUGUAGAUUUGCUAUGAACUGUUGCUGAUGUAUGUUGUUUUUAUCUUGAUUUGCUACGAGGUGUUGCUCAUAUAUGGCAGAACUAAUUUUUAUAUGGAUGUGGUGAUCGUGCCAAGUAUAAGUACAAGAUUGUUGCCCUCUGGUUGAUAUCAUUGUAUUUCCAUAGAAAACAAUAUCUAGUUGUUGUUUGUACUACAUAUUAAUUCUUCUAAAUUUUUUAUUGACAUGAUGAAUAAUAGAUGAAAGCACUGGUAGAUUGUAGUGUUUUGAAGUCGAAUUUAUGUUCAUAUGGGUAUCAAAAUGAUAAUUUUUUUAAUAUGAUAUCAUUUAAUCCAAAUAACAAUAUAGUCCAAGGGCAUUACAGACUUUUCCCUGACCAUACGGCAGAUAAGCUGACAAAACAGAAGUGGAAAAGAACUGGCUAACUUAUUAUCUGGAGCUUACUUCCACAAGAGCUUAUUCUCACAGGAGCUUAUUUUCACAGCAUAGCUCAAAAGAACUGGCCCUUAUGCCUGUUGAUGAUUAUUAUGAUGCAUUAUUUAUUUUUCAUUGCCCGUCUUUUACGUCGAGAUGCAACGAGAAAUUGAAGCCUACAAUAGGGAUGACAUUUGAAGGGCUUGAGGCUGUGGAGGAGUUCUACAAGUCAUCUGCACAUCAUGUGGUUUUUGGAGUCUGUGUUGGACAACAGAGAAAGUUGGACAAUGCGGUGGUACGGAGAAAGCGUUUCAUGCUUGGAAAAGGAUGACAUUUAUAUGAAUUACUAAUGUUGAAUUCUUUGAUGCACUGGAUUCUUGUAAUGGGUGGAAUUAUGUGUUUUGUCGGAACUGUCUUCCUCUUAUUUUCCAUAACUUAUGUGUAUUGAAUGGAGUGUAGCAACAAGCAAUAGCACC
rnacentral:rRNA from 1 species